UACCUGGUUGAUCCUGCCAGUAGUCAUAUGCUUGUCUCAAAGAUUAAGCCAUGCAUGUGCAAGUACAUGCCGAACUAAGGCGAAACCGCGAAUGGCUCAUUAAAUCAGUUAUGGUUCCUUAGAUCGUAACACCCACUUGGAUAACUGUGGUAAUUCUAGAGCUAAUACAUGAACGCAUGCCCCGACCUCUGGUCAAAAGGAGGGAAGGGCGCUUUUAUUAGACCAAAACCAAUGCGGGUCACUAGUUUGGCCUGCAAACGGUGGUGACUCUGGAUAACUUUCGGCCGAUCGCACGGUCUUCGUACCGGCGACGUGUCUUUCAAAUGUCUGCCUUAUCAACUGUCGAUGGUAGGUUAUGCGCCUACCAUGGUCGUAACGGGUAACGGGGAAUCAGGGUUCGAUUCCGGAGAGGGAGCCU
rnacentral:rRNA from 1 species